GGUGGAGAGAUCUAACUUUGUGAUUAGGUGUGCUUGGAUUGAAAAGAUAUAACUUUGUUUUAUUCUAGUUAUGUGAUUUUCUGGUUUUUGUGGAUUGUAACCCCAUAAUCUAGUGAUUAAGGCCCUUAUUGUGUUUUUGUUGAUUUUGAUCCCGAAAUGGUACUUCUUAUACCUUUUGUUAGGUUACCCUUGUACUUUG
rnacentral:lncRNA from 1 species